AUUGAACGCUGGCGGCAUGCCUUACACAUGCAAGUCGAACGGCAGCACGGGAGCAAUCCUGGUGGCGAGUGGCGAACGGGUGAGUAAUAUAUCGGAACGUGCCCAGUCGUGGGGGAUAACGCAGCGAAAGCUGUGCUAAUACCGCAUACGAUCUACGGAUGAAAGCGGGGGAUCGCAAGACCUCGCGCGAUUGGAGCGGCCGAUAUCAGAGUUAGCUAGUUGGUGAGGUAAAGGCUCACCAAGGCGACGAUCUGUAGCUGGUCUGAGAGGACCACCCGCCACCCAGGAACUGAGACACGGUCCAGACUCCUACGGGAGGCAGCAGUUGGGAAUUGUGGACACUGGGCUAAAGCCUGAUCCAGCAAUGCCGCGUGCAGGAUGAAGUCCUUCGGGUUGUAUACUGCUUUUGUACGGAACGAAACGGUGAGAUCUAAUACAGUUUGCUAAUGACGGUACCGUAAGAAUAAGCACCGGCUAACUACGUGCCAGCCGCCGCAGUAAAAC
rnacentral:rRNA from 1 species